UACGUAGGGGGCAAGCGUUGUCCGGAUUUAUUGGGCGUAAAGGGCGCGUAGGCGGCCUUCUAAGUCAGACGUGAAAUCCCCCGGCUUAACCUGGGAACUGCGUCUGAUACUGGGAGGCUUGAGUAUGGGAGAGGGAUGUAGAAUUCCAGGUGUAGCGGUGAAAUGCGUAGAUAUCUGGAGGAAUACCGGUGGCGAAGGCGGCAUCCUGGACCAUAACUGACGCUGAGGCGCGAAGGCUAGGGGAGCAAACGGG
rnacentral:rRNA from 1 species